AUAGUGACAUAAAAGAUUUAAAAUGGAGCUGAAAUAGUGACAUAAAAGAAUUAAAAUGGAGCUGAAAUAGUGACAUAAAAGAAUUAAAAUGGAGCUGAAACAUAUGCCCAGCCCAACACUUGAGCUCUAAACAUGAGAAUUACCCCUAUUGGCAAACAUAUGCCCAGCCCAACCAUCUCUAAUUUGUGACCAGGUUCUAUUAUCAUUUUCUAUGUCAAUAACACCAUCAGAGGCUGGAUUCCCAGUCCAAGUGUGCUCCGGCGGUACAAAAUCGUCCUCUCCCCACUGAAGCAUAACAUAACGGACUGGAGCACGAUAAUUUCUAAUUCUAGCCCU
rnacentral:lncRNA from 1 species